AUUGAACGCUGGCGGCAGGCUUAACACAUGCAAGUCGAGCGGAGAUGAGGUGCUUGCACCUUAUCUUAGCGGCGGACGGGUGAGUAAUGCUUAGGAAUCUGCCUAUUAGUGGGGGACAACAUUCCGAAAGGAAUGCUAAAACCGCAUACGUCCUACGGGAGAAAGCAGGGGAUCUUCGGACCUUGCGCUAAUAGAUGAGCAUAAGUCGGAUUAGCUAGUUGGUGGGGUAAAGGCCUACCAAGGCGACGAUCUGUAGCGGGUCUGAGAGGAUGAUCCGCCACACUGGGACUGAGACACGGCCCAGACUCCUACGGGAGGCAGCAGUGGGGAACAUUGGACAAUGGGGGGAACCCUGAUCCAGCCAUGCCGCGUGUGUGAAGAAGGCCUUAUGGUUGUAAAGCACUUUAAGCGAGGAGGAGGCUACUGAGACUAAUACUCUUGGAUAGUGGACGUUACUCGCAGAAUAAGCACCGGCUAACUCUGUGCCAGCCGCCGCCGUAAGAC
rnacentral:rRNA from 1 species